rnacentral:rRNA from 1 species
AGUGAACGCUGGCGGUAGGCCUAACACAUGCAAGUCGAACGGCAGCACAGUAAGAGCUUGCUCUUACGGGUGGCGAGUGGCGGACGGGUGAGGAAUACAUCGGAAUCUACUUUUUCGUGGGGGAUAACGUAGGGAAACUUACGCUAAUACCGCAUACGACCUACGGGUGAAAGCAGGGGAUCUUCGGACCUUGCGCGAUUGAAUGAGCCGAUGUCGGAUUAGCUAGUUGGCGGGGUAAAGGCACACCAAGGCGACGAUCCGUAGCUGGUCUGAGAGGAUGAUCAGCCACACUGGAACUGAGACACGGUCCAGACCCCUACGGGAGGCAGCAGUGGGGAAUAUUGGACAAUGGGCGCAAGCCUGACCCAGCCAUACCGCGUGGGUGAAGAAGGCCUUCGGGUUGUAAAGCCCUUUUGUUGGGAAAGAAAAGCAGCAGGUUAAUACCUCGCUGUUCUGACGGUACCCAAAGAAUAAGCACCGGCUAACUUCGUG